rnacentral:sRNA from 1 species
UAAGAUCUUAGUCUCGCGUUGAUGAUGU